rnacentral:rRNA from 1 species
AUUGAACGCUGGCGGCAGGCCUAACACAUGCCAGUCGAACGGUAACAGGAAGAAACUUGCUUCUUUGCUGACGAGUGGCGGACGGGUGAGUAAUGUCUGGGAAACUGCCUGAUGGAGGGGGAUAACUACUGGAAACGGUAGCUAAUACCGCAUAACGUCGCAAGACCAAAGAGGGGGACCUUCGGGCCUCUUGCCAUCGGAUGUGCCCAGAUGGGAUUAGCUAGUAGGUGGGGUAACGGCUCACCUAGGCGACGAUCCCUAGCUGGUCUGAGAGGAUGACCAGCCACACUGGAACUGAGACACGGUCCAGACUCCUACGGGAGGCAGCAGUGGGGAAUAUUGCACAAUGGGCGCAAGCCUGAUGCAGCCAUGCCGCGUGUAUGAAGAAGGCCUUCGGGUUGUAAAGUACUUUCAGCGGGGAGGAAGGGAGUAAAGUUAAUACCUUUGCUCAUUGACGUUACCCGCAGAAGAAGCACCGGCUAACUCCGUG